rnacentral:rRNA from 1 species
AGGUGCUGCACGGCUGUCGUCAGCUCGUGUCGUGAGAUGUUGGGUUAAGUCCCGCAACGAGCGCAACCCUCGUGUUUAGUUACUAACAGUUCGGCUGAGGACUCUAAACAGACUGCCUGGGUAACCAGGAGGAAGGUGAGGACGACGUCAAGUCAUCAUGGCCCUUACGGCCAGGGCUACACACGUGCUACAAUGGGGUAUACAAAGAGCUGCAAUACGGUGACGUGGAGCAAAUCUCAUAAAAUAUCUCCCAGUUCGGAUUGAAGUCUGCAACUCGACUUCAUGAAGUUGGAAUCGCUAGUAAUCGUAGAUCAGCAAUGCUACGGUGAAUACGUUCCCGGGUCUUGUACUCACCGCCCGUCACACCAUGGGAAUUGAGUUCAUUCGAAGCGGGGAUGCUAAAAUAGCUACCUUCCACAGUGGAUUUAGUAACUAGGGUGAAGUCGUAACAAGGUA